GACGAACGCUGGCGGCGUGCCUAAUACAUGCAAGUCGAGCGAAUCAACAGGAGCUUGCUCCUGUUGGUUAGCGGCGGACGGGUGAGUAACACGUGGGCAACCUGCCUGUAAGACUGGGAUAACACCGGGAAACCGGUGCUAAUACCGGAUAAUCCUUUUCCUCUCAUGAGGAAAAGCUGAAAGUCGGUUUCGGCUGACACUUACAGAUGGGCCCGCGGCGCAUUAGCUAGUUGGCGAGGUAACGGCUCACCAAGGCGACGAUGCGUAGCCGACCUGAGAGGGUGAUCGGCCACACGGGAACUGAGACACGGCCCAGACUCCGACGGGGGGCAGCAGUAGGGAAUCUUCCACAAUGGACGAAAGUCUGAUGGAGCAACGCCGCGUGAGGGAUUAAGGCCUUCGGAUCGUAAAGCUCUGUUGUUAGGGAAGAACAAGUACCGGAGUAACUGCCGGUACCUUGACGGUACCUAACGAGAAAGCCACGGCUAACUACGUGCCAGCAGCCGCCGUAACAC
rnacentral:rRNA from 1 species